GUAACGCGUGAGUAACCUGCCUUUCAGAGGGGGAGUAACGUUCUGAAAAGAAACGCUAAUACCGCAUGAGACUACAGAGCUGCAUGGCUCAGUGGUCAAAGGAGCAAUCCGCUGAAAGAUGGACUCGCGUCCGAUUAGAUAGUAGGCGGGGUAACGGCCCACCUAGUCGACGAUCGGUAGCCGGACUGAGAGGUUGAACGGCCACAUUGGGACUGAGACACGGCCCAGACUCCUACGGGAGGCAGCAUG
rnacentral:rRNA from 1 species